AUUGUAUAAUAAAAAGCUAAUUAAUUGUAUAUAGUUAAUAAGUAAGUGAAAAUUUACAAUAAAAAAAAAAUUAGUUACUGACCUUAUACUGCCUUUUUCUUAUAACAGAGAACUCAGAUUGGUUAAAUAGUUUUUUUUUUUUAUUUUUUUUUUUAUAGUUUUUAAUAUUUUGUGAUUAGUUUAAGCUGAACAUGUCAAAAUUGCAUGCUGUGUUCACUGUAAUUAGAAUGAACAUUGUACACCUUUCAAAUUGUUACACACAUAAACCUUUUUUUUUUAUUGUAUCAUUCAAUUUGUGAACCGAAUAAAAAAAAAAAAAAACUAAAAUAAAAUCGACUGCGUUGCCAAUGG